GUGAGUCAUCGAAUCUUUGAACGCACAUUGCGCCCGCCAGUAUUCUGGCGGGCAUGCCUGUCCGAGCGUCAUUUCAACCCUCGAACCCCUCCGGGGGAUCGGCGUUGGGGAUCGGGACCCCUCACACGGGUGCCGGCCCCGAAAUACAGUGGCGGUCUCGCCGCAGCCUCUCCUGCGCAGUAGUUUGCACAACUCGCACCGGGAGCGCGGCGCGUCCACGUCCGUAAAACACCCAACUUUCUGAAAUGUUGACCUCGGAUCAGGUAGGAAUACCCGCUGAACUUAAGCAUAUCAAUAAGCGGAGGA
rnacentral:misc_RNA from 1 species